CCAGGGCGUUUCGAGAAAGAUUAAAAGAAAAAGAAGGAACUCGGCAAAAACUAGCCCCGCCUGUUUACCAAAAACAUCGCCUCUUGAAUUUAUUAGAGGUCCAGCCUGCCCAGUGACUCCUGUUUAACGGCCGCGGUAUUCUAACCGUGCAAAGGUAGCGUAAUCACUUGUUUUCUAAAUAAAGACUAGUAUGAAAGGCACCACGAGGACUAAACUGUCUCCUUUUUCCAAUCAGUGAACCUAAUCUCCCCGUGAAGAAGCGGGGAUUUCAGUAUAAGACGAGAAGACCCUGUGGAGCUUAAAACAUCUAAACAUCUGCUUCAUUUUCCAUCACUCAGGUAUAUUACCCCUCUUGCAAUUUGAUUUAAUGUUUUUGGUUGGGGUGACCGCGGAAAAAAACAGAUCCUCCGCAAUGAAAAGGAAUUCCUUAAACUGUAAGUCACAACUUUACGUAUCAAAAAAUUGACACCAUCGACCCAAUAGUUGAUCAAUGAACCAAGUUACCCCAGGGAUAACAGCACAAUCCACUUCAAGAGUUCAUAUCGACAA
rnacentral:rRNA from 1 species